rnacentral:rRNA from 1 species
GACGAACCGUGCGAACGUUGUUCGGAAUCACUGGGCUUAAAGGGCGCGUAGGCGGGCUGUCGCGUCUGGGGUGAAAUCCUCCGGCUCAACCGGGGAAGGGCCUCGGGUACGGACGGCCUCGAGGGGGGUAGGGGCGUGCGGAACUGUGGGUGGAGCGGUGAAAUGCGUUGAUAUCCACAGGAACUCCGGUGGCGAAGGCGGCACGCUGGACCCCUUCUGACGCUGAGGCGCGAAAGCCCAGGGGAGCGAACAGG